AAAGUUGAUUGGACAAUCGCUUUUUUUAUAAAAGAGGAAAGUCCGGACUCCAUAAAAGGGCAGAAUGCCAGGUAAUUCCUGGGGGAUAAGAAUCUACGGAAAGUGCCACAGAAAAUAUACCGCCUUUGAAUAAUAAAAUAUUAAAAUUAGGUAAGGGUGAAAUGGUAUGGUAAGAGCAUACCGCAAAUUUGGAAACAAAUUUGGUCUAGGUAAACCCCAUUCGGAGCAAGAUCAAAUAAGGUUUAUUAUUUAAUUUUAGGUUACAAAUUAAAUUUGUAUUGCCCUAUGCAAAAAAAAAUGGUAGAUCGCUUGAAAUAUACGGUGACGUAUAUUCUAGAUAAAUGAUUGUCUUAUACAGAAUCCGGCUUAUAAAUCAACUUUAUCA
rnacentral:RNase_P_RNA from 1 species